GACGAAGGGGGCUAGCGUUGUUCGGAAUUACUGGGCGUAAAGCGCGUGUAGGCGGUUGUCCAAGUCGGGUGUGAAAGCCUUGAGCUCAACUCAAGAAAUGCACUCGAUACUGGGUGACUUGAGGACCGGAGAGGAUAGUGGAAUUCCCAGUGUAGUGGUGAAAUACGGUAGAGAUUGGGAAGAACACCAGUGGCGAAGGCGGCUAUCUGGACGGUUUCUGACGCUAAGACGAAAAGCGUGGGGGAG
rnacentral:rRNA from 1 species